CUAAGAUUUGAUUAAGGUUUAUAAUUUAUUUAGGAUUGAUUUAAGGCUUCAUUAGAAUUUAAUUAAGAUUUGAUUUAAAAUUUGAUUAAGAUUUAAGAUUUAUUUAAAAUUGAUUUAGAGUUUUAUUGGAAUUUAAUUAGGAUUUAAAAUUUGAUAAGAACUUGACUAGGAUUGAUUUAUGAUUUGAUUAGGUUUUGAUCUAGGAUUAGAAUUUAUUAAUUGAUUAAGAUUUGAUCUAAGAUUUUAUUAGUAUAUUAUUAAGAUUUGAUCUAGAUUUUAUUUAAGAUUUGAUUUGAGUUGAUUUAGAAUUUUAUUAAAUUUUAUUAGGAAUUAUAUUAAAAUUAUAUUAGAAUUUAAUUACAAUUUAUA
rnacentral:lncRNA from 1 species